rnacentral:lncRNA from 1 species
GUCCUCCCAGGAAAAAAAGGAAGCUGUUCAAAGUUGUAAGUAGGAGGGGUGUGUAAGUAGGAGGUCAGGAGUUACAUGAUUAUAUUUGCUUUUUAGAUUAUUUCAACUACACACUGGAAAACAGUUUGAAGAGACCAUAGACAUGCCACAAAAGCAGAGGAAAUUGAUGCCCGGGGAGGUUAGAACUUGUUCAAGGUCACCCAGCAAAUAACCAACGGGGCUGAGACCAGGACCCAGGUCUGAAACUAAAGUCUGUGCUUUAACUGCUAUUAUACCAUCUCUCAAUCUCUUGCUGAAGAGCACAACAGGAGUGACUUCCAAAUAAAAACACUCAGAUUUUAAUGGCCAU